rnacentral:rRNA from 2 species
UGCAAGUCGAGCGAACAGAUGGGAGCUUGCUCCCUGAUGUUAGCGGCGGACGGGUGAGUAACACGUGGGUAACCUGCCUGUAAGACUGGGAUAACUCCGGGAAACCGGGGCUAAUACCGGAUGGUUGUUUGAACCGCAUGGUUCAAACAUAAAAGGUGGCUUCGGCUACCACUUACAGAUGGACCCGCGGCGCAUUAGCUAGUUGGUGAGGUAAUGGCUCACCAAGGCAACGAUGCGUAGCCGACCUGAGAGGGUGAUCGGCCACACUGGGACUGAGACACGGCCCAGACUCCUACGGGAGGCAGCAGUAGGGAAUCUUCCGCAAUGGACGAAAGUCUGACGGAGCAACGCCGCGUGAGUGAUGAAGGUUUUCGGAUCGUAAAGCUCUGUUGUUAGGGAAGAACAAGUACCGUUCGAAUAGGGCGGUACCUUGACGGUACCUAACCAGAAAGCCACGGCUAACUACGUGCCAGCAGCCGCGGUAAUACGUAGGUGGCAAGCGUUGUCCGGAAUUAUUGGGCGUAAAGGGCUCGCAGGCGGUUUCUUAAGUCUGAUGUGAAAGCCCCCGGCUCAACCGGGGAGGGUCAUUGGAAACUGGGAAACUUGAGUGCAGAAGAGGAGAGUGGAAUUCCACGUGUAGCGGUGAAAUGCGUAGAGAUGUGGAGGAACACCAGUGGCGAAGGCGACUCUCUGGUCUGUAACUGACGCUGAGGAGCGAAAGCGUGGGGAGCGAACAGGAUUAGA